AACUUUUUUUGUCCUGCUGAGCACACACACAAAAUCCAGAAAGUUUUUAAUUAUUCUUUUAUUUCUUCAAACAAAUUUCUAAAGCAAUCAGAAUUCAGCAAAUUAUAAUGGAUUUAAAAAGCGUCAAAUGCUAAUGGAAAGAAAGCGCACACACGCAAGCCGACGAAUCAUAUGAAUUUUUAGGACCGUUUUUGAGAGCAACUUUAUUUUGUUAAUCUAAUUUAUAAUUAUUUUGAUUUACAUAUUCGCUUGGAAAUACCAUUUGCAAGACCAGAACUGAACAACAUUAACAUCUGUUGGAAAGUGCACGAGCAAAGCAAGAACAAGAUCUGCAUCAAAAAACAAAACACAAUUUCUUUCUGUUAAAAGGAAAACAAGCCAAAAAAAAAAAAAAGAAAAAAUCG